rnacentral:rRNA from 1 species
AUGAACAAAGCAGGCGUCUUGCCCUUGUCAAAUCGGUCCUCAACGCAAUACCAGUGCACCAGCUGCUCGCGUUCGCUCCCCCGAAGAAGACGCUCAAACAAUUGGCGAAGAUCCAGCGAGGCUUCUUGUGGGCUGGGCGGGCCGUGGCCAACGGUGGCCAUUGCCAUGUCAACUGGAGCCGUGUGUGCCGUCCUAUCGCGUAUGGUGGGUUGGGAGUCCGAGACCUGGAGCGCGCUGGCCUCGCGCUACGAUUGCGAUGGCUCUGGUUCGCCCGCGUCGAUCUAG